rnacentral:rRNA from 1 species
CACGUAGGGGGCGAGCGUUGUCCGGAUUUAUUGGGCGUAAAGAGCUCGUAGGCGGUUUGUCGCGUCGGGAGUGAAAUCCACUGGCUUAACUGGUGGCUUGCUUUCGAUACGGGCAGACUGGAGGUAUGCAGGGGAGAACGGAAUUCCUGGUGUAGCGGUGAAAUGCGCAGAUAUCAGGAGGAACACCGGUGGCGAAGGCGGUUCUCUGGGCAUGUCCUGACGCUGAGGAGCGAAAGUGUGGGGAGCGAACAGG